rnacentral:rRNA from 1 species
CCUACGGGUGGCUGCAGUGGGGAAUAUUGGACAAUGGGCGCAAGCCUGAUCCAGCCACGCCGCGUGAGUGAUGAAGGCCUUCGGGUCGUAAAGCUCUGUGGGGAGGGACGAACCGCCACCGGUUAAUACCCGGUGGCAUGACGGUACCUCCUUAGCAAGCACCGGCUAACUUCGUGCCAGCAGCCGCGGUAAUACGAAGGCGGCAAACGUGGCCCGGAAUUAUUCGGAGGCGAGCUCGCAUAGCGGACGUGAACUCCCUCGGCUCAACCAAGGAAGUGCUUUCGAAACUGCUGAGCUUGAGUACUUAAGAGGAUCGCGGAAUUCCCGGUGUAGAGGUGAAAUUCGUAGAUAUCGGGAGGAACACCAGUGGCGAAGGCGGCGAUCUGGGAAGAUACUGACGCUGAGGUGCGAAAGCGUGGGGAGCAAACAGGAUUAGAUACCCUAGUAGUC